UACGUAGGUGGCAAGCGUUGUCCGGAUUUAUUGGGUUUAAAGGGCGCGUAGGCGGUCUUAUAAGUCAGUGCUGAAAUAUCCCGGCUUAACCGGGAGGGUGGCAUUGAUACUGUAGGACUUGAGUAAAGUUGAGGUUGGCGGAAUUGACGGUGUAGCGGUGAAAUGCUUAGAUAUCGUCAAGAACACCUAUAGCGAAGGCAGCUAACUAAGCUUUAACUGACGCUGAGGCACGAAAGUGUGGGGAUCAAACAGG
rnacentral:rRNA from 1 species